GAUGAACGCUGGCGGCGUGCCUAAUACAUGCAAGUCGAGCGAACAGACGAGGAGCUUGCUCCUCUGACGUUAGCGGCGGACGGGUGAGUAACACGUGGAUAACCUACCUAUAAGACUGGGAUAACUUCGGGAAACCGGAGCUAAUACCGGAUAAUAUAUUGAACCGCAUGGUUCAAUAGUGAAAGACGGUUUUGCUGUCACUUAUAGAUGGAUCCGCGCCGCAUUAGCUAGUUGGUAAGGUAACGGCUUACCAAGGCAACGAAGCGUAGCCGACCUGAGAGGGUGAUCGGCCCACCUGGAACGGAGACACGGUCCAGACUCCUACAGGAGGCAGCAGUAUGGAAUCUUCCGCAAUGGGCGAAAGCUUGACGGAGCAACGCCGCGUGAGUGAUGAAGGUCUUCGGAUCGUAAAACUCUGUUAUUAGGGAAGAACAAAUGUGUAAGUAACUAUGCACGUCUUGACGGUACCUAAUCAGAAAGCCACGGCUAACUACGUG
rnacentral:rRNA from 1 species